AGAGUUUGAUCAUGGCUCAGGACGAACGCUGGCGGCGUGCUUAACACAUGCAAGUCGAACGAUGAACUCCAGCUUGCUGGGGGGAUUAGCGGCGAACGGGUGAGUAACACGUGAGUAACCUGCCCUGGACUCUGGGAUAACCCCGAGAAAUCGGAGCUAAUACCGGAUAGGACCUUUCCUCGCAUGAGGGUUGGUGGAAAGUUUUUCGGCUUGGGAUGGACUCGCGGCCUAUCAGCUUGUUGGUGAGGUAAUGGCUCACCAAGGCGUCGACGGGUAGCCGGCCUGAGAGGGUGACCGGCCACACUGGGACUGAGACACGGCCCAGACUCCUACGGGAGGCAGCAGUGGGGAAUAUUGCACAAUGGGCGCAAGCCUGAUGCAGCAACGCCGCGUGCGGGAUGACGGCCUUCGGGUUGUAAACCGCUUUUAGUAAGGAAGAAGGGGAGCUUGCUCCUUGACGGUACUUGCAGAAAAAGGACCGGCUAACUACGUGCCAGCAGCCGCGGUAAUACGUAGGGUCCGAGCGUUGUCCGGAAUUAUUGGGCGUAAAGAGCUCGUAGGCGGUUUGUCGCGUCUGCUGUGAAAUCCCGAGGCUCAACCUCGGGCCUGCAGUGGGUACGGGCAGACUUGAGUGGUGUAGGGGAGACUGGAAUUCCUGGUGUAGCGGUGGAAUGCGCAGAUAUCAGGAGGAACACCGAUGGCGAAGGCAGGUCUCUGGGCACUUACUGACGCUGAGGAGCGAAAGCGUGGGGAGCGAACAGGAUUAGAUACCCUGGUAGUCCACGCCGUAAACGUUGGGCGCUAGAUGUGGGGACCUUUCCACGGUUUCCGUGUCGUAGCUAACGCAUUAAGCGCCCCGCCUGGGGAGUACGGCCGCAAGGCUAAAACUCAAAUGAAUUGACGG
rnacentral:rRNA from 1 species